GUGGGCUCGGCAGGUCAUCAGUCCUGGCCGCAUGGAAGCACUUCAGUGACCCAUGACCCAUUCAUUCCUUCCCUUGUGAGAUACUUCUUGACCACUUACCCUGGGCCGGAACUGUUUUAGGCAGACGAUGUGCGCUGCCCACAGGAAGUUUACAUCUAGAGUGGGGAGACCGAUGAGAAACAAAAGAGGUGGGUGUCUAAUAUUUGUACUGAACCCUAUGGAAAGCUGGGAAGAGCCUCGCCCAGCAGCUGUGGAAGGCUUCUCAGAGUGGCUUGGAUGGCAGUGGCAGCUGGAAGCUGUGAACCUUCUCAGUGUUACUCAUUUUUUGAGAAUCAGAAAAGCGUUUUUCAAUCAUUAUAUUUGAGUUCAGAGCAUGUGAAACAUGAAAUAUCAAAGAACUUAUUUAAUUUUCUCUUUGUGCAUAUAGAUAAUAACUCUAAGCUUUCAUGGUCUAACUCUUACAGUGCAGCCCUCAGUGUAUUGCUAAAUUGUCUAAGAUGGGAAAAAUAACUGAAAUACAUCGUUAUUAAUUUUUAAUGUGUUGAAGGGUAGUACACUUAUAAUUUUUGUGCUCUUAAAAGUUACAUUCAGGCUAGAUCUCAAAAGGUAUAUUUUAAUUUAUCGGUUUUCAAAAAGUUGAAUCUGUGAAGACCAUAUGUGGCUUUCUUUUCUUGGAUAUAAGGGGAAUGGCCUGGUUUUUCUAUAUAAUGGCUUUACCAUUGUAAAUACUGAUAUUGUACUAAACGUACACACACACUUGGUUUUUAAAAUACAAUAAACAAAAGUACCAUUUAUUUUUAUCAA